UACAACAGGUCCUUGAAUAAUUUCAUUUUGUUCAAUGUCGUUUUAUGAAAACGUAGAUGAGAAAAGAGAAUCUGUUCUCCGCUGGGGCUACUGUCUCUGUGCAAUUUGCAUAUUCUCCCCAUGUCUGUGUGGGUUUUCUUUGUUUGCUCUUGUUUCCUCCCACAUCCUAAAAAUAUGCACCUUAGUUUACUUGGUGUGUAUACAGUGUCCCAGCAUGAGUAAGUGUGAGUGUCUGGGUGAAUGCACCCUGUGAGGAAAUGACGUCCUGUCUAGGACUGGUACCCACCUUGCGUCCUGAGCUGCCUGGACGUCUUUAGCCACCUGAAAACCUGAACUGGAGUAAUGUGCAUUUCUGAUGAUUGACAGCAAGGAGUACAUAGUCUGCACCAAAAGAACACCUCCCCAUUGUUGCAGAAACCUCCUAUGAUCAUGCACUGGAAAAUCAAAUUGUGGAAGUUUAUGGAAAGAACAUAGGACAUAUUUUAACAGAGGUCUACAGGAAGGGAAAUCAUUAGUAUCUCUAUUGAAAGGCCCACGUGAUUAAGAGCUGAGGUAUCUGAGCAACAGCCAGCAAGGAACUGAGGCCUCCUGCCAAAAGCCUUGUGAGUGAAUCUGGAACAUUAAGGAGCCAAGUCAAGUCUUCAGAUGACUACAGCCUCUGCCUAUGUCCUGACUGCAAUUUCAUGAGCUCCUGAGUCAAAAUUAACCAGCUAAGAUAUAGCCAGUUUCCUGAUUUUUGGAAACACUGUGAUAAAGUACACAUUUGUUGGUUUGUGCUGCUCAGUUUGAGAAUAAGUUUGUAUCCCCAAAUAAAUAAUACAAAAAGAAAAAUAAUGGUAGUCAUGUGAGGAAGAAAAGGGAUAAAAAAAAGGAAAAUAUAAAAUGUAUAAUCUUAUAAUUCAUAUUGUAGGUGAAUGCACAAAUAUAUUCCAAUUUUGCUGAACAAGUCAGCAUGAAUUGAAGGAAAGAAUAGUACUUCUUAAAAAAUAAAUAAUCAUAAAUCAUUACCCAAGCACUAAAACAUCUGUGAAUGACACAUAUCUGACUCUGAUCUCUUCUUGCCUCCUGUACAAAUACUGUCCUUACAAUUUCAUGUUGUUUUUUAUGCUUACAUAUAAUUUUAUCACUUUAUAUAGUGAUUAAUAUAUGUGUGUAUAUAGAAAUUCAUAUUGAUAUAUUAUUCUAUUGGUUCUGGAAUUGUAUAAAACAAGUAUCAUACUCUGUGUAGUUUUCCUGGGUUUGAUCUUUUCAUUCAACAUUAUGUUUUUACGAUUCAUCCAUGUUAUUAUAUGUAUCUUAAUAUUUAUUUACCCUCUUAAAUAAUAUUCUAUAAUGCUAUAGAUUAAAUGUUUAUGUCCCCCCAAAGUUCAUAUGUUGAAGCCUAAUUCCCAAGGUGAUGGUGCUUAGAAGUGGGACUUUCAGAGAGAGAGAGAGUUAAGUUGUGAGUAUAGAGCUGUCAUGAAUGGAAUCAGUACCCUUAGAAGAAAAGAGACUACAGUUAUCUCUUUGUGUGUGUCUUUGUCUCUUUCCCUCUCUUCAGGCCAUGUAAGGAUAAAAUGAGAAGGCAAUUGUCUCCAGACACAGGAUCUGCCAGUGUUUUGAAGUUGGAAUUCCCAGCUUCUAAAAUUUUGAGAAAUAAAUAUUUGUCUUCUAAGUCUUCCAGUCUAUGUUAUUCUUACUCUAGCAGCCCAUAAUUACUAAGACAUAUUGUGUGAAGAUACCAAUAUUUUAUUUAUCCAUUUUUGUUAUCAGUGGACAUCAGGUUUGAUUCUAAGUUUUGUUGUUAAAAUCAACGCUGCUAUGAACAUUCUUAUACGUGCCUUUUGGUCGACUUCUGAAACAUUUUGUCAUGCAUAUGAAUACAGAGUAAUUUUUAGGUCAUAGCGUAUGGGGUGCUCAACUUUAGAAGACAAUGCUGAAUUUUGUACCAGAAAGUUGUGUCAGUUGGCACUUUCAUUGCCAAAAAUAGGAGAGGUCAGUGGUGCAAUACUUCUCAAGUAUUUGAUGUUGUCUGAUUUUUUUUUUUUUUUUUUUGCUACUCCAAGGAGUGUAAAAUGAAAUUUCAUUGUUGUCAAACAUUGCUCUCACUAAUCAUGAAAGUGAUGAGACUGAGAAUCUCUUUUUAUGGUGAUCUUUUCUUUCCUGCUGGGGAAUGACUGCAUAUAUUUGCUAACUUUUCUACAGGGUUUCAUGGUAGAUUGUUUUAGAAAUGACCCCAGUCGUUUGUCUCAUCCCAAAGGUCUGAUAUCAAUUUUACCCUCAAGAGUUAGGGUCUGUAUUUCCUCCCAUUGACUUUGAACUGACCCUUGACUUGAUUUGACAAAUAGAAUGAGACAGAAGCAAUGCUGUGUGACUUUGGGGCCCAGACUUAGAAAGCUCUUAGUACUUCUGUUUUCACUUUUCCAAAGCCUGAGCCAUUAGUUAAAGAAGCCUGACUAACAAGCUAGAUGAAGAAGUCACAUGGAGAUAAGACCUGAAAGAUGUGACUACAUGUUCUCACUUAUAAGUGGGGGCUAAAUAAUAAUAACUCAUUAACAGAAAGAAGGAAACAACAGAUAUUGGGGUCUACUUGAGCGGGAGGGUGGCGGGUGAGGAGCAGAAAAGGUAACUAUUGGCUACUGGGCUUAAUACCUGGAUGAUGAAAUAAUGUUUACAACAACCCCUGUGACAUGUGUUUACCUAUGUAAAAAACCUUCACA
rnacentral:lncRNA from 10 species